rnacentral:rRNA from 1 species
CCUACGGGAGGCAGCAGUAGGGAAUCUUCCACAAUGGGCGAAAGCCUGAUGGAGCAACGCCGCGUGAGUGAUGAAGGCCUUCGGGUUGUAAAACUCUGUCAUUCGGGACGAACCGGAGUCUGAGGAAAUGCAGACUCUCUGACGGUACCGGAGGAGGAAGCCCCGGCUAACUACGUGCCAGCAGCCGCGGUAAUACGUAGGGGGCAAGCGUUGUCCGGAUUCACUGGGCGUAAAGCGCGCGCAGGCGGUGAUGUAAGUCUGAGGUGAAAACCCGAAGCUCAACUUCGGGACUGCCUUGGAUACUGCGUCACUUGAGGAUAGGAGAGGCAAGGGGAAUUCCACGUGUAGCGGUGAAAUGCGUAGAGAUGUGGAGGAACACCUGUGGCGAAGGCGCCUUGCUGGCCUAUUUCUGACGCUGAGGCGCGAAAGCGUGGGGAGCAAACAGGAUUAGAUACCCUGGUAGUCCACGCUGUAAACGAUGAGUGCUAGGUGUAGGUGGGCUCAUACCCAUCUGUGCCGAAGCUAACGCAUUAAGCACNCCGCCGUGGGAGGUACGGUCGCGAGACGUAGUAACGUUAAAGGUAAGUAGUUACGGCGUUGAGAGAGCGACGGACGACGACGAGGGAGGUUAGG